CGGUAGCCUGUGUGCUGCUAGCUGUUAGCACCAGGCUGUCGUAAAUAAGCUUCCAUUAUCGGACAGAGACGCCUGUCAGUCACACCUGAGCGUGGCGUGACUCCAGCCCGGUCACUGCACAGGGUGUCAUCGAGCUCUGUUGCCAUGGACGACCAUGCUGACGUUGCCAUGGAGAACAAGACAGAGGUCCCGGCCUCUGACGCACCGUCCUCUCCUGACAAAGAGCAGGCAAAGCCCGCUGCGCGUCAGUCACACCGCCGCACAUUAGGGAGGAGGGGCCAGAGAGCAAAGAGGCGGGGUCUUAUAGAGAAGAAGCGGGGUCAGAAAUCGAAGAGGCGGGGCCAGGAGGACAAGAAGGAGGGCGUGACGGUGAAGAGGACGUGGAGCGGCGGGAAGCGCCGUUGGGACAAGAAGCAUUACUGCGUGUUCUGCCGACGGCCACAGGUGAAGAUCGCACGCCACCUGCUGAGGAAGCAUGCCGACGAACAGGAAGUACUGGCUGCCAGCACCCUGCCGACAGGCUCCAAAGAACGCCACCUGCUGCUGGAGCACCUGCGCUGCCGAGGCAACUAUCUACACAACAUCGAGGUGAUCCGGCAGGGCACUGGUGAGAUUGUGCCAUGGCGUCAGCCCUCUGAGGAUGUGGAUGCGAGGAACUACCUGCCAUGCCCAUUGUGUCUUGGAUUUUUCCUUCGUGCUGACCUGUGGAAGCAUCAGGUGUCGUGUCGCAAGAAGCUCGCUAUUAACCCGUCCAAAGCCGAAGCGAACGCUGACCCCGCCAACGACGCCACCUCUGGUUCCACAAGUAAGUUGCCUUGUGAUGUCACCAGAGAGGACAUGCCUGAGGAUUCCCUUGGUGAGACUGCAGAGACCGGGACCAAACAGCUUAUGACCUCUGACCCAGGUGUUGAUCAAAACACGACCUCUGACCCCGCUGUGAACCGAGCCAGGAAACGGACCAGAGUGCAGGCAGCAGCGUCGCGGCUCCUGCCCAUCUCCAGUGGAGCGUCUGAGAGCUGCAGUGAAAUCCUGCAUCGCAUGAACCAAGAUAAUGUGUCUUACGAGGUGAAGUCUGAUUGGCUGAUCUGUAAGUAUGGCAACAAGCUGAUGGGGAACCAGGAUAGUGGUCAGAGGAGGUACGACUACGUAAGCCAAAAGCUCCGGGAACUUGGCAGGUUGCUCCUGGCCGCUAAAUCCCUUGACUCCGGCAUCCAGAGCCUGCAGGACCUGCUGGCCCCAGGCCGCCUUAGCCUGGCGCUGUCCGCAGCCAGGAAGGCAGCGGGAAACAGGUGGAGCCGCCC
ensembl:lncRNA